UAGAAAAACGUUUUUGCCCUGCAACUCUUGUCUGAUAGGAACACGAGCGGUUCUGCGUUACAGUAACGGGAAAUCGCAUUUUUAACGGGAGUGCUGUUUGGACUUGCUCAAUAAAACCUUAUCUCCGCGACAAGUGACUUA